rnacentral:rRNA from 1 species
UAGGGAAUCUUCGGCAAUGGGGGCAACCCUGACCGAGCAACGCCGCGUGAGUGAAGAAGGUUUUCGGAUCGUAAAGCUCUGUUGUAAGAGAAGAACGUGUGUGAGAGUGGAAAGUUCACACAGUGACGGUACUUACCAGAAAGGGACGGCUAACUACGUGCCAGCAGCCGCGGUAAUACGUAGGUCCCGAGCGUUGUCCGGAUUUAUUGGGCGUAAAGCGAGCGCAGGCGGUUUAAUAAGUCUGAAGUUAAAGGCAGUGGCUUAACCAUUGUUCGCUUUGGAAACUGUUAAACUUGAGUGCAGAAGGGGAGAGUGGAAUUCCAUGUGUAGCGGUGAAAUGCGUAGAUAUAUGGAGGAACACCGGUGGCGAAAGCAGCUCUCUGGUCUGUAACUGACGCUGAGGCUAGAAAGCGUGGGGAGCAAACAGG